rnacentral:rRNA from 1 species
AUGGGUUGCAGCAGUGGGACACUUCAUUGCAAAGGAGGUUAUGCUCCACAAGGGGCACCUUUGUCUUAUUUAUCUGCUGGUUCUCCUUGCGUCAUUGCAAAUCUCUGGGACGUCUCGGAUAAAGAUAUUGAUCGAUUUAGUAAAGCAUUACUCAAUUCAUGGUUGAAAGAAGAUUUUAAGAACUGCUCUAAAUGUGGCCGCCCACUAACACAAGGAUUUGAGUCCAUGACCAUUGCUGCUGCAAAGGAUAAUGGCACGCCAAGACGAAAAGGUACACAACAAGGUCAGAAGCACCAACAGACAGCAGAGAGAAAUGUCAGUAGUAAAAAUCGCUGUAAUUGCGGGCACAGGCGAAUAGCUUGGCUUAUGAUCGGUGCAUCUCCUGUUUGUUAUGGUGUGCCUACUAUCAUCAGGAAGAAAUAA